CCUGUUCGAGCGUCAUUAUGACCACUCAAGCCUAGCUUGGUAUUGGGGUUCGCGGUUUCGCGGCCCUUAAAAUCAGUGGCGGUGCCAUCUGGCUCUAAGCGUAGUAAUUUAUCUCGCUAUUGGGUCCGGUAGUUGCUUGCCAAUAACCUCCAACUUUUAAGGUUGACCUCGGAUCAGGUAGGGAUACCCGCUGAACUUAA
rnacentral:misc_RNA from 1 species